UACGAAGGGGGCUAGCGUUGCUCGGAAUGACUGGGCGUAAAGGGCGCGUAGGCGGCUUGCACAGUCAGGCGUGAAAUUCCUGGGCUCAACCUGGGGACCGCGCUUGAGACGUGUGGGCUUGAGUGGGGAAGAGGGUCGUGGAAUUCCCAGUGUAGAGGUGAAAUUCGUAGAUAUUGGGAAGAACACCGGUGGCGAAGGCGGCGACCUGGUCCUUGACUGACGCUGAGGCGCGAAAGCGUGGGGAGCAAACAGG
rnacentral:rRNA from 1 species